rnacentral:rRNA from 1 species
GAUGAACGCUGGCGGCGUGCCUAAUACAUGCAAGUCGAGCGAACGUACGAGAAGCUUGCUUUUCUGAUGUUAGCGGCGGACGGGUGAGUAACACGUGGAUAACCUACCUAUAAGACUGGGAUAACUUCGGGAAACCGGAGCUAAUACCGGAUAAUAUUUUGAACCGCAUGGUUCAAAAGUGAAAGACGGUCUUGCUGUCACUUAUAGAUGGAUCCGCACUGCAUUAGCUAGUUGGUAAGGUAACGGCUUACCAAGGCAACGAUGCAUAGCCGACCUGAGAGGGUGAUCGGCCACACGGGAACUGAGACACGGUCCAGACUCCUACGGGAGGCAGCAGUAGGGAAUCUUCCGCAAUGGGCGAAAGCCUGACGGAGCAACGCCGCGUGAGUGAUGAAGGUCUUCGGAUCGUAAAACUCUGUUAUUAGGGAAGAACAUAUGUGUAAGUAACUGUGCACAUCUUGACGGUACCUAAUCAGAAAGCCACGGCUAACUACGUG